rnacentral:lncRNA from 1 species
AGACAUGUAUUGCAAUAUUAAAUUCUUGCGUUCCUGAAUGGAAUAGGACCAUCACCCUAUAGGCAGGGGAUAUAAGAUGUUAGUCAACUAUUAUUGCAUAAGAUUGAUUGUAUAGUUUAUAUCAUAAACAUGUAGGCAUGGAUCGUGGUUGAAUGUCAUUGCGCAAUAAGUUCUGUCCCGAGUAUAUUGCGGGUGUGACGUCUUUCAUGAAUGUGGCGUCCAAUCACACUA